UAACAGCAGCAGACGGACAUCACCUCCUCUCCCAUGGAUAAGUUUGUGUUCCUGUUGGUCCUUGUGUCUCCAGCAGCUUCUGAUGUGAUACGAGUGAAACCUGGAGAUAAUGUCACUCUGUCAUGUCAGGCUGGUGAAGCCUCCAUCAGAGCUGUAGAGUGGAGCAGACCUGACCUGGAGCCAGACUACGUCGUCUUUCACAGAGAUGGACUCUCAGAUCCAACCCACCAGCAUCCAUCCUUUAAGGACCGGGUGCAGCUGGUGGACAGAGAGCUGAAGGACGGAGACGUGUCUUUAAUUCUGAAGAAUGUGAGCAGCAACGACGCUGGAACAUACGAGUGUCGAGUUGCAACAGGAGGUUCAAGACGUAAGAGAGCCAUUAUUGAGACUGAGCCAAUCAGAAUCAUCCAGCUGGAGGUUUCAGGGUCCAACAGCGGAGACGUCGAGGAGGGAAACCAAAUCAACAAAAACCCCACAGAAGGAAACUACAGGAUUUACUACGGAUCUGUAGCAGGUUUUGUUCUGGUUUGUUUAGUUAUCGUCAUCAUUGUCGUCUGGAAAUAUAGAAGACCCAGGGAGAGCCUGGUUAUUUGAGGCAGUGUGGAAGUUGAGGGGUCUGACGGGUCAGACUGACUGCAAUUCAAACACACACCUUUAGCCAGGGAUGGAUAAGUACUACAAUAUUCUACUUAACUAAAGGUAAAUACCAGCUUCAGGCUCCAAAAUAAAGUGCAUUAACAUGUCAGUGUUCACAGUGGAACAUUUAUUUUCUAUAGACGCACUCUGCAGCCUAAUAAAGCAUCAAUAAGGCAGCACAGAGAUCUAGAGACAAUAUAAACUCCACAGCAGCUGCUGCAGAUACAAAUACUGAGGUACAAGUAAAAUAUCAGAUAUUUUAAAAACAAUCAGACUAUAAAAGUACUUUGUUACAGUAAGGAGAGUAAAUGUAGCUGGUUGCUUGCAGCCUCAGCACUGAUGUAUCACAGGGAGCUUCAUGAACAGAUUAAUGCUAAUGCUGCUAAUGUGGUGACUUUCUCUGUGUUGCAGCAUGUAUUGAAACAUGUUGAUGUUAUAUUAUACCAACAGAUUAUGCCAAAAGUGAGGGUCAGAAAGACAGAGGUCUCAUUCAGCCAGAUGUUUUCAUGCACAUUUUGGAAUUACGUAUAAAAACGGCUGGAUAGAAACAUGACUAUUUUUGCAUUAUUUUGAGAAUUUAUAUUUAUGUUGUGAAUAUUCAUUUUCAUAUUGUUGAAGAAAUGUUUUAUAAUGUGGAUUGACAUUGACAAUAAAAAACAUUUUGAACAAG